rnacentral:rRNA from 1 species
UACAGAGGGUGCGAGCGUUAUUCGGAAUUACUGGGCGUAAAGCGCACGUAGGCGGCUUGGUAUGUCGGGUGUGAAAUCCCCGGGCUCAACCUGGGAACUGCAUCCGAAACUGCCUUGCUAGAGUAUGGGAGAGGGAAGUGGAAUUUCCGGUGUAGCGGUGAAAUGCGUAGAUAUCGAGAGGAACACCUGCGGCGAAGGCGGGUAGCUGGGCCGACACUGACGCUGAGGCGCGAAAGCCAGGGGAGCGAACGGG